rnacentral:rRNA from 1 species
UAGGGAAUCUUCGGCAAUGGGGGCAACCCUGACCGAGCAACGCCGCGUGAGUGAAGAAGGUUUUCGGAUCGUAAAGCUCUGUUGUAAGAGAAGAACGUGUGUGAGAGUGGAAAGUUCACACAGUGACGGUAACUUACCAGAAAGGGACGGCUAACUACGUGCCAGCAGCCGCGGUAAUACGUAGGUCCCGAGCGUUGUCCGGCUUUAUUGGGCGUAAAGCGAGCGCAGGCGGUUUAAUAAGUCUGAAGUUAAAGGCAGUGGCUUAACCAUUCUUCGCUUUGUAAACUGUUAAACUUGAGUGCAGAAGGGGAGAGUGGAGUUCCAUGUGUAGCGGUGAAAUGCGUAGAUAUAUGGAGGAACACCGGUGGCGAAAGCGGCUCUCUGGUCUGUAACUGACGCUGAGGCUCGAAAGCGGGGGGAGCAAACAGG